rnacentral:rRNA from 1 species
CACGUAGGAGGCGAGCGUUGUCCGGAAUCAUUGGGCGUAAAGGGCGCGUAGGCGGCCUCCGCAAGUCAGUUGUGAAAUCUCCGAGCUUAACUCGGAAAGGUCAACUGAUACUGCGGGGCUAGAGUGCGGAAGGGGCAACUGGAAUUCUUGGUGUAGCGGUGAAAUGCGUAGAUAUCAAGAGGAACACCUGCGGCGAAGGCGGGUUGCUGGGCCGACACUGACGCUGAGGCGCGAAAGCUAGGGGAGCGAACGGG